GACAAAUAUUGAUUUAACUUUAAUUACAAAUAAUUUGAUUGAUAACAUUUUUAAUUGGAAAGUUCAUGAAAAUUUAACAGUAAGUGAUCAUAAUGUAAUUACAUUUAAUAUAAAUUUUGGAAAACAAGAUAAAAUUAUAAUAGAAAAUAACAAAAAUAGAUAUUCGACGAAAAAAAAUAACAAAAGAAAUUAGUAAAGGUUGUCCACAAGGAUCAGUAUUAGGACCUACUUUUUGGAAUAUUAUUUUUAACAAUAGUUUUCAAGAGAAUGUUAAGGAAAUCGCAUAUGCAGACGAUAAAAUUUUUAUAAUUGAAGAAAACUCGAGAAAAAAAUUAGAAGAUACUGGAAAUGAAAUAAUGAAAAAUUUGAAAAUUGGUGCACCGAAAAUAAAUUAACGAUAUCUCAUGAAAAAACCGAAAUGAUACUGUUUAAAGGAAAUUUCGAUAUUAAGAGACCUCCUACAAUAAAAAUUUAUAAUAAACAAAUAAAAAUGGUUAAUAAUAUAAAAUAUUUAGGAAUAACAAUUCAAGAAAAAUUAAAACUUAACAUGCACAUAGACAAAAUUUCUAGUAAAAUAAAACAACUCCUUCAAAAAUAUAUUUGGACAUGCAAAGAUAAUUGGGGAUUAAAUAAAAAAACUUUAAUUACAAUUUAUAAGGGUGCAUUAAAACCUGCAUUUUUGUAUGGAUCUGUAAUAUGGGGAAAAAGGAUUAAAAAAAUACAAGGAAAAAAAAUUAUAAGUAUUUAAUCCUAUAUUUUAAGAAGAAUUUUCAAUAUGUACGAUAGGACAGCAACAAAUUCGGUAACAGUAAUAUCAGGAAUUAUGUCCAUUACAUUAAAAAUAGAUCAAAAAAUUCAAAAUUAUAUAAUCUAAGGAAAGAUAAAAAUAUUAUUUUGGGAGAAAAUAUUAUAAAUUAUAAUACAUAUAUAAUAAAUAAAACGAAAAUUGAUUUUGGACAUCCAGCGAAAGCCCAUAAAAAUUUAGAAAAUGAAGAAGGAAAAUUAGCAAGAUUUGAAAUUAAAAAACAAAUUGAAAAUUAUUAUAUAAAUAAAUGGCAAGAGGAAUGGAAUCAAUCUGACAAGGGAAGGAAAACAUUUCAAUAUAUUCCAAAUAUCAAAAAUAGAUUAAAAUGGAAAUUUUGGAGUAUUAGAGGAAUUAUACAAAUUAUUACAAAUAGAGGACUUUUCAAUUCAUAUUCGUGUAAAAUUAGAAAAAGUGAAACAAAUAUGUGCGAGUGUGAAAAUGGGAUAAAAAGUGCAGAACAUUUGAUAUAUGAGUGUGAAGAAUUUAAUAUUGAAAGAGAAGACUUUAAAAAUUUACUAGAAUCAAAAGGAAUUAUCAUUUGGCCUGUUAACAAAAUUCAAUGUUUACAAGAUAAAAACAUUAGAAGUAUUUGCCGUUUAAUAAAAAUUCAGGCGGCACAAGAAAAUGAUUUGUCGAUAAUUUGCGCGCUUUAAGUGCGACAUGCAUCAUUGUGUUCAUUUAUAGAAGUCAUGUACAGAUUAUGGUAAAAACCAGCAAAAGUGAAUAGAAAAGUGAAAAUGCUUUCACUUACUAAAACCAAAAUGAUACCUUUUUACCACAAUGAAAGGAGCGUUACGCUCUAGUGGUCCAUAGGUAAUAUAUAAAAUCUAAACUGAACUUCAAGCAAGUUAUAUCUCCAGACUACAUCUGCAAUCAUGUUGUUAAGAUUCCUUUAUUACCUUAUCUUCGUUGUGGCUAUUACAACUGCACUGCCGGCUUAUGAGGAUUCAGAAUCGGCAGCAACCGGUGACCAUCAUGGACGUGUUCAAAUAAAAGUGUAUAGAGGACCUUCGGAACACCACGAUCAUUUCGCACCAUGGGGAUAUUGGGUGAAGCAACCUGCCGACGAUGAACAUCAUUAAAACAAAACCAACUUAACUGGAAAUAUAUAUUUCUAAUCAUUUUAAUAAGUACACGUGAUGCGACUAACCAUAUUUGUAUAGUAUGUAAAAAUGGAAUGUAAAUAUAACAGUCGAUCAUCAUUAAGAAAUGCCUCACUUGCAUAAGUACUAAAAAGGCCACAAACGGACGGAUAAUUUGUUAUUUGAAGUCUUUCACAAUCAUACCAACAAAAAA